CGAAACCGAGUGAUCUAGCCAUGGGCAGGUUGAAGGUUGAGUAACAUCAACUGGAGGACCGAACCGACUAAUGUUGAAAAAUUAGCGGAUGACUUGUGGCUAGGGGUGAAAGGCCAAUCAAACUCGGAGAUAGCUGGUUCUCCCCGAAAGCUAUUUAGGUAGCGCCUCGGACGAAUACUACUGGGGGUAGAGCACUGUUAAGGCUAGGGGGUCAUCCCGACUUACCAACCCUUUGCAAACUCCGAAUACCAGUAAGUACUAUCCGGGAGACACACGGCGGGUGCUAACGUCCGUCGUGGAGAGGGAAACAACCCAGACCGCCAGCUAAGGUCCCAAAUUACAGCUAAGUGGGAAACGAUGUGGGAAGGCUUAGACAGCUAGGAUGUUGGCUUAGAAGCAGCCAUCAUUUAAAGAAAGCGUAAUAGCUCACUAGUCGAGUCGGCCUGCGCGGAAGAUGUAACGGGGCUAAGUUGUAAACCGAAGCUGCGGCAAUGUUCUUUGAACAUUGGGUAGGGGAGCGUUCUGUAAGCCGUUGAAGGUGUGUUGUAAAGCAUGCUGGAGGUAUCAGAAGUGCGAAUGCUGACAUGAGUAACGACAAGGGGGGUGAAAAACCUCCCCGCCGGAAGACCAAGGGUUCCUGUCCAACGUUAAUCGGGGCAGGGUAAGUCGACCCCUAAGGCGAGGCCGAAAGGCGUAGUCGAUGGGAAACGGGUUAAUAUUCCCGUACUUCUUACAAUUGCGAUGGGGGGACGGAGAAGGCUAGGUGGGCCUGGCGACGGUUGUCCAGGUUCAAGUGCGUAGGCUGAGUGUUUAGGUAAAUCCGGACACUCUUAAGGCUGAGACACGACGUCGAGCUACUACGGUAGUGAAGUCAUUGAUGCCAUGCUUCCAGGAAAAGCCUCUAAGCUUCAGAUUGUAAGGAAUCGUACCCCAAACCGACACAGGUGGUCGGGUAGAGAAUACCAAGGCGCUUGAGAGAACUCGGGUGAAGGAACUAGGCAAAAUGGUACCGUAACUUCGGGAGAAGGUACGCUCUUGAUGGUGAAGUCCCUUGCGGAUGGAGCUGACGAGAGUCGCAGAUACCAGGUGGCUGCAACUGUUUAUUAAAAACACAGCACUGUGCAAAAUCGUAAGAUGACGUAUACGGUGUGACGCCUGCCCGGUGCCGGAAGGUUAAUUGAUGGGGUUAGCGUAAGCGAAGCUCUUGAUCGAAGCCCCGGUAAACGGCGGCCGUAACUAUAACGGUCCUAAGGUAGCGAAAUUCCUUGUCGGGUAAGUUCCGACCUGCACGAAUGGCGUAAUGAUGGCCACGCUGUCUCCACCCGAGACUCAGUGAAAUUGAAAUCGCUGUGAAGAUGCAGUGUACCCGCGGCUAGACGGAAAGACCCCGUGAACCUUUACUACAGCUUGGCACUGAACAUUGAACCUACAUGUGUAGGAUAGGUGGGAGGCUUUGAAGACGUGACGCCAGUUGCGUUGGAGCCGUCCUUGAAAUACCACCCUUGUAUGUUUGAUGUUCUAACGUUGGCCCCUAAUCGGGGUUGCGGACAGUGCCUGGUGGGUAGUUUGACUGGGGCGGUCUCCUCCCAAAGAGUAACGGAGGAGCACGAAGGUGGGCUAAUCACGGUUGGACAUCGUGAGGUUAGUGCAAUGGCAUAAGCCCGCUUAACUGCGAGAAUGACGGUUCGAGCAGGUGCGAAAGCAGGUCAUAGUGAUCCGGUGGUUCUGAAUGGAAGGGCCAUCGCUCAACGGAUAAAAGGUACUCCGGGGAUAACAGGCUGAUACCGCCCAAGAGUUCAUAUCGACGGCGGUGUUUGGCACCUCGAUGUCGGCUCAUCACAUCCUGGGGCUGAAGUCGGUCCCAAGGGUAUGGCUGUUCGCCAUUUAAAGUGGUACGCGAGCUGGGUUUAGAACGUCGUGAGACAGUUCGGUCCCUAUCUGCCGUGGGCGUUGGAAGAUUGAAGGGGGCUGCUCCUAGUACGAGAGGACCGGAGUGGACGAACCUCUGGUGUUCGGGUUGUGUCGCCAGACGCAUUGCCCGGUAGCUAAGUUCGGAAUCGAUAACCGCUGAAAGCAUCUAAGCGGGAAGCGAGCCCUGAGAUGAGUCUUCCCUGAUACUUUAAGUAUCCUGAAGGGUUGUUCGAGACUAGAACGUUGAUAGGCAGGGUGUGUAAGCGCUGUGAGGCGUUGAGCUAACCUGUACUAAUUGCCCGUGAGGCUUAACCAUACAACACCCAAAGGGUUUUG
rnacentral:rRNA from 1 species